rnacentral:rRNA from 1 species
CAAUAGCGUAUAUUAAAGUUGUUGCGGUAAAAAAGCUCGUAGUUGGAUUUCUACCGAAGAUAGCCGGUCGGGUCUUCGACCUUGUAUCUGGUUUUGUCUUUGGUAUCCUCAUAGGGAACGUUUCUGCGCUUUAUUGCGUGGUGCGGUAUCUAUGACUUUUACUUUGAGGAAAUUAGAGUGUUCACGGCAGGCAAACGCCUUGAAUAUAUUAGCAUGGAAUAAUAACAUAGGAUCUUCGUCCUAUUUUGUUGGUUUCUAGGGCUAAGAUAAUGAUUAAUAGGGAUAAUUGGGGGCAUCUGUAUCAACGCGUCAGAGGUGGAAUUCUUGAAUUGCGUUGCGACAAACUACUGCGAAAGCAUUUGCCAAGGAUGUUUUCAUUGA